rnacentral:lncRNA from 1 species
UUAUAAGGAAGGCGCCGGUCCUCCAUUUCAGUCUUUCUCUCUAGAAGGAGGUGGCAGUGGCAUUUCUGGUCUUGUAAACACUGGACUCUAUGGGACCU